ensembl:lncRNA
UGUGUGUGUGUGUGUGUGUGUGUGUGUGUGUGUGUGUGUGUGUGUGUGUGUGUGUGUGUGUGUGUAUGUUCAUGUGUGUGUGUGUCUGGUCUGACCGACAAAUUAAUUAAGGGAAGGCAUAUUCGGUUGUAAACCAAAAACUUCUUGACAAAUAAUCCUCUUUUUAAAGACAAACUAAAUCUACCAUAAAGGUAGCUCCUCAAUAAGGUAGUUCCUCCUUAAGGUAAUUCCUAAUUUAAUUAGCUCCAAAUUAAGGUAGCUCCUCAUUAAUGUAGCUCCUCGUUAAGGUAGCUCCUCAUUAAGGUAGCUCCUCGUUAAGGUAGCUCCUCGUUAAGGUAGCUCCUCAUUAAGGUAGCUCCUUAUUAAGCUAGCUCCUCAUUAAGGUAGAUCCUCGUUAAGGUAGCUCCUCGUUAAGGUAGCUCCUCGUUAAGGUAGCUCCUCGUUAAGGUAGCUCCUCAUUAAAGUAGCUCCUCAUUAAGGUAGCUCCUCGUUAAGGUAGAUCCUCGUUAAG